UACGUAGGUGGCAAGCGUUGUCCGGAAUCAUUGGGCGUAAAGAGCGUGUAGGCGGCCCGACCAGUCCGCUGUGAAAGUCCAGGGCUCAACCCUGGAAUGCCGGUGGAUACUGUCGGGCUAGAGUCCGGAAGGGGCGAGUGGAAUUCCUGGUGUAGCGGUGAAAUGCGCAGAUAUCAGGAGGAACACCAAUGGCGAAGGCAGCUCGCUGGGACGUGACUGACGCUGAGACGCGAAAGCGUGGGGAGCAAACAGG
rnacentral:rRNA from 1 species